CUGGCUCAGGAUAACGCUGGCGGCGUGCCUAAUACAUGCAAGUCGAAUGGUAGCAAUACCAUGGCGAACGGGUGAGUAACACGUAGGUAACCUGUCUUUAAGCCGAGGAUAACCAUUGGAAACGAUGGAUAAUACUGGAUAGGACAUUUGAAGGCAUCUUUAAAUGUUUAAAGAUUUAUCACUUAGAGAGGGGCCUGCGGCGCAUUAGCUAGUUGGUGAGGUGAAGGCUUACCAAGGCGAUGAUGCGUAGCCGGACUGAGAGGUUGAACGGCCACAAUGGAACUGAGAACGGUCCAUACUCCUACGGGAGGCAGCAGUAGGGAAUUUUCGGCAAUGGGCGGAAGCCUGAACCCGAGCAACGCCGCGUGAACGAAGAAGUAUUUCGGUAUGUAAAGUUCUUUUAUUAGGGACGAAAAGACAGAUUGACGGUACCUAAUGAAUAAGCUCCGGCUAACUACGUGCCAGCCGCAGC
rnacentral:rRNA from 1 species